UGGGUAGGAGGGAAGUGCAACAUAAAACCCCAACUCCCUUUCUCAGUGAACUUAGGAUCCUCUGUGAUAUUGGGCCGCUUCAUGGUGUGAUUGGGCAAAAGGUUCAUUCAAAAUCUACCACACAAGGAAUGCAGCUGAUUUCUUGAGGUGCAUGUGCUCAUUCUUGAGGUUUAUGACUCCACAGAAGAUGAGGCCUUAGUCUAAAGUGGCAAACUGGCAGGUGUGGCAAGUGACGAGUCCUCUCAGAUUGGCAUGGCACCCACGGCAAAUGAUCCCUGGCAGGCUACAGGACUACUAGGAUGCUGUGGGAGGUAAGAGCGAGAUAUAUUAUCUGUGAAAGUCUGACCAUCACAUGAAUUAAUUCUGCCUUUGAAAAGUGACACCAAAUGUUAUCAACAAAGCUAAAAGUGUGGGUUGAUCUAUUUCCACUUCAAGUGUUGCCUUUUAAUCACAAAUGCCAUUCAGCUGUGCAUGGAGUUUAAGCUCUGUGCAAAUCCCUCACAUGUACCAGAACUACUGCUUGUUUAAAGUGAAAUCUCUGAGAACUCUGUGAGGUGGAAAUCUCUGCAGAACUUUGCUCCGAAUUCGGGUAGUGCUGUGGAAAACACCCCUAUGUCUGAGCAGUAAUCAGCAAAUACAGAACAAGUAGCCUGGGAUUCUUAUCUUUCAAACCCUAGCAGCUCACACAGACCAUAAAGAUAUCAUGGACUCCAGGAGGAGAGCACAGCUGAUACACAAAGCUGGAGGGGAAGCAGGGAACUUGACAGAAGAGAAGAAUGAACACUACAAACUCCUUAUCAUCCAACAUCAACUUCACAUUGUUACCUAGCAUGUAGAAGAAAUGGAUGGAGUCAUCAUUCUAACUAUCCCUAGGGGAACACAGAAGCUGUUUCCAGCAUGUUGAAUCUGGGCUGGUUCCAGACCAACCCAGAUCUUGUAGAACAGUUUGUGUCAACGUUGCCAAAAAGUGUCAGUUUCCAAAGCUAGGAGGUGACAAGCACUGAGACCACCCAUAUAAACUCUUUGUUCAUUGCUGUUUGUGUUGAUAUUUCUAUAAAAAGAAAAGAAGAUAAGAUAAAAAUGAAUACAAGACAGGUUUUGUUGUUGCCUAUAAUAAAGUCAUUUCAUUUGGUAUUGAUGGGUCAUCUGUGCAUUAGAGGAGUACAAAAAAAUGCACAACUGGUCUUGCAGUUUAUUGUUCUAGUGCUGACAUACACCCUAAAGUACAGAAGAGCCAAAAAUCCACCUAAUAUACCCAACAGCAUCUAAUAAUAAUGGACUGUGUAGCAUGCAGUCUCAUGAUCCUGAGUUCCUGUUAUUAUUUGUCAACUGAAUGAGACAGUCUUUCUCUGAUUCUACCAACAUGAAACUUCCACUUGGACGACUUUCAGUUCUGAUGGUUAGGCUGCCUUCUCUAUUUUUUGCCACUUUAUUUGUGACUAGGUUGCACCCAUCUCUCAUUACAUUAAGACCAUUCUCUGUUUAAGUAAUUCUUCUCCGUGUGGUGUUGCAGACAUUUCCCAUGCUCGUGACACGGUUUCUCUGUCCUCCUGGUCAUCCUGCCAU